GAUGAACGCUGGCGGCGUGCCUAAUACAUGCAAGUCGAGCGAACGGACGAGAAGCUUGCUUCUCUGAUGUUAGCGGCGGACGGGUGAGUAACACGUGGAUAACCUACCUAUAAGACUGGGAUAACUUCGGGAAACCGGAGCUCACCCCGCCCAAUCUUCCCAACCGCACCCCCCACCCGCGCACGCCGCCCCUGCCCCCCCUCCUCGCUGGAUCCGCGCCGCAUUAGCUAGUUGGUAAGGUAACGGCUUACCAAGGCAACGAUGCAUAGCCGACCCGCGAGGGUGAUCGGCCACACUGGAACUGAGGCACGGUCCAGACUCCUACGGGAGGCAGCAGUAGGGAAUCUUCCGCAAUGGGCGAAAGCCUGACGGAGCAACGCCGCGUGAGUGAUGAAGGUCUUCGGAUCGUAAAACUCUGUUAUUAGGGAAGAACAUAUGUGUAAGUAACUGUGCACAUCUUGACGGUACCUAAUCAGAAAGCCACGGCUAACUACGUG
rnacentral:rRNA from 1 species